UACGUAGGGCGCAAGCGUUAUCCGGAAUUAUUGGGCGUAAAGAGCUCGUAGGCGGUUUGUCGCGUCUGCCGUGAAAGUCCGGGGCUCAACUCCGGAUCUGCGGUGGGUACGGGCAGACUAGAGUGAUGUAGGGGAGACUGGAAUUCCUGGUGUAGCGGUGAAAUGCGCAGAUAUCAGGAGGAACACCGGUGGCGAAGGCGGAUCUCUGGGCCUUUCCUGACGCUCAGGCGCGAAAGCUAGGGGAGCGAACAGG
rnacentral:rRNA from 1 species